rnacentral:rRNA from 1 species
UACGAAGGGGCUAGCGUUGCUCGGAAUCACUGGGCGUAAAGCGCACGUAGGCGGACUCUUAAGUCAGGGGUGAAAUCCUGGAGCUCAACUCCAGAACUGCCUUUGAUACUGGGAGUCUUGAGUUCGGGAGAGGUGAGUGGAACUGCGAGUGUAGAGGUGAAAUUCGUAGAUAUUCGCAAGAACACCAGUGGCGAAGGCGGCUCACUGGCCCGAUACUGACGCUGAGGUGCGAAAGCGU